rnacentral:rRNA from 1 species
AGUCAAUCUGCCCUCAGGACGGGGAUAACCUCGAGAAAUUGAGGUUAAACUCCGAUGGGCCAAGUAUGCUGGAAUGCUUCUUGACCAAAACAGGGCGGCGAAUCGUAGCCGUUUCUGCCUGAGGAUGAGACUGCGCCCGAUCAGGUUGUUGGUGGGGUAACGGCCCACCAAGCCGAUAAUCGGUAGGGGCAAUGGGAGUUGGAGCCCCGAGAAGGGCACUGAGACAAGGGCCCUAGUCCUACGGGAUGCAGCAGGCGCGAAACCUCUGCAAUGCGCGAAAGCGUGACAGGGGAACUCUGAGUGCUACACCACGCGUGUAGCUUUUUGCAAGCUUAAGUCGCUUGUAGAAUAAGGGCUGGGCAAGACUAGUGCCAGCCGCCGCGGUAACACUAGCGGCCCGAGUGGUGUCCACGAAUAUUGGGUCUAAAGAGUCCGUAGCUGGCCCGUUAAGUUUCCUGUGAAAUCUCAGGGCUCAACUCUGAGGCGUGCAGGAAAUACUGGCGAGGCUUGAGAGCGGGGGAGGUCAAGAGUACUCAUGGGGUAGCGGUAAAAUGUUGUAAUCCUAUGAGGACUUCCAGUGGCGAAGGCGCUUGACCAAAACGCGUCUGACAGUGAGGGACGAAGGCUAGGAGAACGAAUCGGAUUAGAUACCCGAGUAGCCCUAGCAGUAAAUGAUGCAGACUGUGGUGUUGCAACAGCUUCGAGCUGUUGCAGUGCCGUAGCGUAGGUGUUAAGUCUGCCACCUGGGGAGUACGGCCGCAAGGCUGAAACUUAA